CGUGAGAUGUUGGGUUAAGUCCCGUAACGAGCGCAACCCUUGUCCUUAGUUGCCAGCGGUCCGGCCGGGCACUCUAGGGAGACUGCCGGUGACAAACCGGAGGAAGGUGGGGACGACGUCAAGUCAUCAUGGCCCUUACGACCUGGGCUACACACGUGCUACAAUGGCCGGUACAAAGGGCAGCGAAGCGGCGACGCGGAGCGAAUCCUUUAAAACCGGUCGUAGUCCGGAUUGGAGUCUGCAACUCGACUCCA
rnacentral:rRNA from 1 species